GUGUGAGUCACCACCCCUGGGGACCAAACUUAAGCCCUGUACUUGCACAGUGAGUGCUUUACUGACUGAGCUCUCUCUCCAGCCUGCCCAGCAUUAAUCUUGAGGCAAAUCAAAACAUCAAAACAUCCUGGAAGACUGGUUUGCAGGGAGCAUGAAUGAAAGGAGGCUUUAACACACUGCUAAGAAGAAAUCUCCAAAUUACUGACUGGAAGAAGAAGGUGUGCACUACAUGCAUGUAAUGGCCAUGGGCGCCAGAAGAGGGCGCCAGAUCCCCUGGCCUGGAGCUUGGCGGGUGCUGGGAAUCAAUUCCAGGUCCUCUGGGACAGUGGCCAGUGCUAUUAACCACUAAACCAUUUCUGCAGCCCCUACACACGAUUCUUUUUGAAAAAGAAACUUGUACGGAAAUCUGUUGUACUAAAUGAUAGCAUUGGUAUAAAAAGAGAGAUGUGGCAUUUAUACUCAUUUUUACACUGGAAAGAUAGACAAGAGAUGAUAAUUUAGUAAAGGAACCGUGAGCGCCUGCCUUGAGUUCCAGCACUCGAGAGCAGAGGCAGGAAG
ensembl:lncRNA